CAUUUGGGUUGCGAAAAGUUGAGAUUAUGGCGAAGAGUUUAAGAUCAAAGAGAAAAAGAAAGUUUAGAGCAUUGAAAAGGAUAAAGCACCAACCAAAGAUCGAUGCAAAAAUGAAAGAAAUAGCGCUUGAAGUUGAUGCUGCAGAUAAAACAGUCAAUGAAAACGAUGUCAAUCAAGAAAAUAUGAAUGCUACUGAAGAAUCGAAAUUGGACAGCAAAAGGUCUACUGUAGAAGAGACAGAAGAAGAUGAAGAUAAUGACAUUGAUAUGGAUAACAAGGGAAGUGAUAAUCCAAAGAAAUCAAGUAAAAGUUCAUCAAUACCCUUCCAUCUAUUAUCACAGAGAAAACUGAGAAAACUGCAAAUGAAACAUAAGCAAAAGAAAGGCAACCCAAAGAAAAAGAAUUUUUUAAAGUGGUGAUAGACUUUAAUUGUUAUUUUAAUUUUAUUAGGUAAUACAUAGCCCAAUAUGGAGUUAUACUCUGAAAAUAUCUUUAAUGGGACAAAAUUUUAUCUAAAGUAGAAAUAUUCCCCACACCUUUAAGCAAGAAUUUUUUUUAAUAUUUGAGUUUGCUAAUGAAUAGCUCCAAUAAGUUAUAUUCAAAGGUCUUUCUGAUCCUUCUUGCUGUGGUUUGAAAUGUGAAAUUUUCAUGUUUUCAAAAGAUAACUGUGAAUGUCAAUAAUGUGUACAGCCUUAGUUGUUUACCACCUGAAGAAACUCUGCUUAUAAUAUUUUUUACUAUUACAUAUUAUCAGCUGUUUAUUUCAAUAUCAUAUCUAAAGCUGCCAAAGUUGUUGUCGAGUCGUUUUGCCACAAAAAUGAAAUUGUAUAUGUUUUUUGUUUGGCCAGGCUCAUGUUGGAUUUCUUUUUGAAAUACUGACAUUUCAUGUUCUUUCUUUGGUACCUAUCAUGUAAAUCGUUCUUUCGAAUGGCAUUGAUAAUGCUCCAGAGCCCUAGCAAGAUAAUGAAUCUACUAGUAUGAUGCAUGCCUGGUGAGCUAUAAGCAGAAAGUUUUUUCACUCAUGCUAUGUAUUAUUGCAUUGUAACUAUGUGACAAUUCAUCGCAUCAUGUUAAAUUUUUUGUGUAUAUAAUAAACACAUUUUGUUCUUCUA